UACGAGGGGGGCAAGCGUUGUUCGGAAUUAUUGGGCGUAAAGGGCGCGUAGGCGGUUUGACAAGUCUGAUGUGAAAUCUAUGGGCUCAACCCAUAGCCUGCAUUAGAAACUGUCGGGCUUGAGUAUGGGAGAGGUGAGUGGAAUUUCCGGUGUAGCGGUGAAAUGCGUAGAUAUCAGGAGGAACACCGAUGGCGAAGGCAGGUCUCUGGGCCACUACUGACGCUGAGAAGCGAAAGCAUGGGGAGCGAACAGG
rnacentral:rRNA from 1 species